rnacentral:rRNA from 1 species
AGCAUGCGGAUUAAUUCGAUGCAACGCGAAGAACCUUACCAAGGCUUGACAUACACCAGAACACCGUAGAAAUACGGGACUCUUUGGACACUGGUGAACAGGUGGUGCAUGGUUGUCGUCAGCUCGUGUCGUGAGAUGUUGGGUUAAGUCCCGCAACGAGCGCAACCCUCGUUCUAUGUUGCCAGCACGUAAUGGUGGGAACUCAUGGGAUACUGCCGGGGUCAACUCGGAGGAAGGUGGGGAUGACGUCAAAUCAUCAUGCCCCUUAUGUCUUGGGCUUCACGCAUGCUACAAUGGCCGGUACAAAGGGCUGCAAUACCGUAAGGUGGAGCGAAUCCCAAAAAGCCGGUCCCAGUUCGGAUUGAGGUCUGCAACUCGACCUCAUGAAGUCGGAGUCGCUAGUAAUCGCAGAUCAGCAACGCUGCGGUGAAUACGUUCCCGGGUCUUGUACACACCGCCCGUCAAGUCAUGAAAGUCGGUAAC